rnacentral:rRNA from 1 species
UACGUAGGGUGCAAGCGUUGUCCGGAAUUAUUGGGCGUAAAGAGCUCGUAGGCGGUUUGUUGCGUCGGCUGUGAAAUCCCGAGGCUCAACCUCGGGUCUGCAGUCGAUACGAGCAAACUGGAGUGUUGCAGGGGAGACUGGAAUUCCUGGUGUAGCGGUGAAAUGCGCAGAUAUCAGGAGGAACACCGGUGGCGAAGGCGGGUCUCUGGGCAACAACUGACGCUGAGGAGCGAAAGCGUGGGGAGCGAACAGG